GGUGGAACUAUUAAAGAAUUUUCGGUCAUCGAUGGGGAUGCGUUCCAUUAGGUUGUUGGCGGGGUAACGGCCACCAAGCCUUCGAUGGAUAGGGGUUCUGAGAGGAAGGUCCCCCACAUUGGAACUGAGACACGGUCCAAACUCCUACGGGAGGCAGCAGUGAGGAAUAUUGGUCAAUGGACGAGAGUCUGAACCAGCCAAGUAGCGUGAAGGAUGAAGGUCCUACGGAUUGUAAACUUCUUUUAUAAGGGAAUAAACCCUCCCACGUGUGGGAGCUUGUAUGUACCUUAUGAAUAAGCAUCGGCUAACUCCGUG
rnacentral:rRNA from 1 species